GCCCCUGGCGCACCCAGAAACCCUUCGUGAACU
rnacentral:rRNA from 1 species